rnacentral:rRNA from 1 species
CAUGCAAGUCGAACGGUAACAGGAGAGAGCUUGCUCUCUUGCUGACGAGUGGCGGACGGGUGAGUAAUACAUGGGAAUCUGCCCUGAGGUGGGGGAUAACCCGGGGAAACUCGGGCUAAUACCGCAUGAUCUCUUCGGAGCAAAGUGGGGGACCUUCGGGCCUCACGCCUUGGGAUGAGCCCAUGUCUGAUUAGCUAGUUGGUGGGGUAAAGGCCUACCAAGGCAACGAUCAGUAGCCGGCCUGAGAGGGUGUACGGCCACACUGGGACUGAGACACGGCCCAGACUCCUACGGGAGGCAGCAGUGGGGAAUAUUGGACAAUGGGGGCAACCCUGAUCCAGCAAUGCCGCGUGUGUGAAGAAGGCCUGCGGGUUGUAAAGCACUUUUAUCGGGGAAGAAUAGGUUGUCGUUAAUAGCGCCAACACUUGACAUUACCCGUUGAAUAAGCACCGGCUAACUCCGUGCCNNCAGCCGCGGUAAUANNNAGGUGCGAGCGUUAAUCNNAUUACUGGGCGUAAAAGGUGNGGNNCCGGAGCGUAUAUUUNUUGUGUAAAACCCCCCCCNGGCUACCGGGA